UACGGAGGAUGCGAGCGUUAUCCGGAUUUAUUGGGUUUAAAGGGUGCGUAGGCUGUCGGAUAAGUUAGAGGUCAAAUGUCGGGGCUUAACCCCGUGCCUGCCUCUGAUACUGUUCGACUGGAGAGCGGAUGCAGCAGGCGGAAUGAGUAGUGUAGCGGUGAAAUGCUUAGAUAUUACUCAGAACACCGAUUGCGAAGGCAGCAUGCCGGCUUCCUACUGACGCUGAAGCACGAAAGCGUGGGGAUCGAACAGG
rnacentral:rRNA from 1 species